UGAAGAUGCUGGUGUUCCACAUCCAAUUGCUCUCGUCUUUCCAAGACUGUGGCACUCCAGGAAAUCUUCCCUACUGAAGGGGGACCACGAGCUACAGUAUCUCUUAGAUGAAAUCAACCGCAUUGCAAACUAAAAGGAAGAAAAGUAACAAAGAACUUGAAGACUUUCAUGACUCCCAGGCCCUGGAUGGAGGCAGGCGGCACCAGACAGACAGAACCAAGAAAUCAGAGGGGCAGCCAGGAGGUGCCUGUGGCUGCAGAGCCCAGGUAGGUGCCCGGGAGAGGACGACGGAGGGGCUCACGGGGGAGAGAGGCACAGAGACCCUGAUGGUGGGAGGAGUGGAUGUAGCAGACACGGCGUGGUCAGGAGAGAUUAAGGGGGAAAGGCAGUGCAGAGAGGAGUUGGGAGACUGA
rnacentral:lncRNA from 1 species